GUACUACUCCCUCCAUCCCAAAAUUCUUAUCUUAAAUUUGUCUAAAUACAGAUGUAUCAAGUCACAUUUUAGUAUUAGAUGCAUCCGUAUCUAGACAAAUGUAAGACAAUAAUUUGGGACAGAGGGAGUACGAC
rnacentral:pre_miRNA from 1 species